AGCAAUUAGACAAUAGGAUUAGAUGUUGGGAUGUUGGCAAUUCAUUGGGGGCCAGAUUUUUCAAGGGAGGCUAGGAUAAUUUACCCAAAGUAAAACCAAAUGCAAGCAAAGCACUUACAGUUUACAGCUACAAAGAGAUGAGGUAAUUUCAAAGGCAUAAGAAUAAGUAAUAUUGUAAUAAUAUUAGAAAAUAAAAAAUCUAAAUUUUAAUUGAAGAAAAAUAAUGAUCCUAUUAAGAAACAAAGAUCAGCUCCACAUGCACCACGACCACAAGAGGCACCACGACAACAAGAUCACCAAUUUGAGCACCCAUGUGAUCAGCCGCCAUUGCAGUCACCACAUCCACAUCAGGAGUCUACAUCUGCCUCGCUAGCAACUCCUCACACAGGCCAGGGCGAUUGUUUAGAGACUUUGUCAAAGCAUAGGAACACUUGUGGUCCAACUGUGGGGCUUGGAAAAUAGAGGAGUGGCACUGGUUAGUCGUUGAUAACUUGUACACAAAUGAGAAAUACCAGAAAAGGUGCAAAGACAAUGCUGAUAACAGAAAAAAGAAAGAAUAUGAACACAUAGAAGGUUCAAACCCUUUCCUGAAACAUAAGGAAGCAGCCGAGAAGAAGAAAAUGAAAGUAGCAAUGGCAAUGUACAUUCAGCAGGGGUCUGUGACUUCAAGCAACGCUUCUGAAUAGAUCUCAGUUUCAGACAUGCACCAAUUUGGGAUUAUGAAUAAAGAACUUAGGAUUGGAUUGGGCUCGAAUCUUCGAGUGGAGACUAGUUCUCGCUCUACAAGUAGAUACGGCAAAAACUCUAUGACUGAAGAUGAUAGAUACAAUAAGCUCUCAUAAACUGUGGAGAAACUUUAUGACAUCGUUAAGCAGCUACAAGCUGGGAUUAAUGAUAGAUCUAGAAAGCGUAAACACAACAGUAAGUGCAAUGGUAAGGGACCUUGGCUCCAACAAGAUUCUUCUUAUUUUGAUGAUUCUACAACUGAUCACAGUGACAACUUACAAGGUGGUGGUGAUGGUGUGUAUAUUGGUCUUGAAGAUAUUGUUCAUGGUCAUUAGGUAGGUUUUAGACCUUUUGGUUGUUUUGGGUAUGGAUGAUCUUGGUGAUUUUGUGACUUUGAUGGACUCAAAUCCUACAAUCUGACUUAGGUAUGUGGUUUUUGUUUCAAAUCCAAGAUAUGUGUGAUCAAUAAUAUGAUCAAGAAUAUGACUUAGGUAUGUGGUCAGAUUCACCAUACUUCUGACUAUAAGUGUGAUUGUGAUCACACACGUUGCUCAUCCAUAUAUUAAGUAGAAUAUAGACUUAGCUGAAAUUUUAUAUAGGCUUUGGUUUGAAUGGAUGCAUAUGUUUCUGUUGCUUGUGGCAA